rnacentral:rRNA from 1 species
UACAGAGGGGGCAAGCGUUAUUCGGAAUUAUUGGGCGUAAAGGGCGCGUAGGCGGCCUGGCAAGUGGAAGGUGAAAGUCCCUCGGCUUAACCGAGGAACUGCCCUCCAAACUGCUUGGCUUGAGUCCGGGAGAGGUGAGUGGAAUUCCCAGUGUAGCGGUGAAAUGCGUAGAUAUUGGGAGGAACACCAGUGGCGAAGGCGGCUCACUGGACCGGAACUGACGCUGAGGCGCGAAAGCGUGGGGAGCAAACGGGG